rnacentral:rRNA from 1 species
GGGGUGUUAGGGCACGACACCGGAGAGGGAGCCUGAGAAACGGCUACCACAUCCAAGGAUGGCAGCAGGCGCGCAAAUUACCCAAUCCCGACACGGGGAGGUAGUGACAAUAAAUAACAAUACGGGGUUCUUUCGGAUCUCGUAAUUGGAAUGAGUACAAUUUAAAUCUCUUAACGAGGAACAAUUGGAGGGCAAGUCUGGUGCCAGCAGCCGCGGUAAUUCCAGCUCCAAUAGCGUAUAUUAAAGUUGCUGCAGUUAAAAAGCUCGUAGUUGAAUUUCGGGACCAAUAUGUCGGUCGUGCCUCGGUACGUACUGGCAUCGUUGGUUUCUCCCUUCUGACGAACCAUGAUGUCAUUUAUUUGGUGUCGUGGGGAAUCAGGACUGUUACUUUGAAAAAAUUAGAGUGUUUAAAGCAGGCUCACGCUUGAAUACAUUAGCAUGGAAUAAUGAAAUAGGACGUUUGAUUCUAUUUUGUUGGUUUCUAGGAUCGACGUAAUGAUUAAUAGGGAUAGUUGGGGGCAUUAGUAUUCAAUUGUCAGAGGUGAAAUUCUUGGAUUUAUUGAAGACUAACUACUGCGAAAGCAUUUGCCAAGGAUGUUUUCAUUAAUCAAGAACGAAAGUUAGGGGAUCGAAGACGAUCAGAUACCGUCGUAGUCUUAACCAUAAACUAUGCCGACUAGGGAUCGGAUGAUGUUAAUUUUUUAAUGACUCAUUCGGCGCCUUACGGG